GACUCCAAGCCAAGGUCAGCUGCUACAUCUGCCUGGAUUACCUGACAGACACAGUGACCACUCUGUGGGCAGAGCUUCUGUCACUCCUGUCACUUCUGCAUCCACAGUGCUGGGAGGACUUACAGGACAUCUUCCCCUGUCCCAUCUGUCCUCACUACUUCCCUGACCAGAACCUCAGGAGCAACACCCAAUUGUGCCACAUGACUGAUAUUGUCCAGCAGUUUCCGCCCCCAUGAGGAGCAAGAGGGAAGGGCAGGAAGAGUAGCCCCUGUGUGGGAAGCACAGUCAGAGUCUGGCCCUGUUCUGUGAGAAGGAUCUGGAGCUGUGUGUCAGUCAGCUCUGGCUAUGGGGGUUACUUUCUCUUGCCCAUUGAGCAAGCGGCAGCCAGGCACAGGAGGAAGCUCGAAAGCUACAUUCAUCCCUGAACAAGUAAGUCGAAGGUGCUAAAACGGGGUGUGAAAUGCACACUUCAGAGUCUUGAAGUUAAAGGGGAAGAGUGAAACAAGGAUGUAUUCUCUGAAUUUGAACAAGUGAAGUGUUUCUUGUC
rnacentral:lncRNA from 1 species